UCGCAAUCCGCCAACCGGUCGAGCCGGGCCGCGGAAGGUUUUCAACCCAUCGAAGCCUCGCAAACCGGGGCAGAAGGUGAGCG
rfam:Burkholderiales bacterium RIFCSPHIGHO2_12_FTLL_69_20 rifcsphigho2_12_scaffold_8132, whole genome shotgun sequence.